GAGUUCAAAGAUGAAAGAGUUGAUUACUAGAUUACAAGGUUGAAUAUUUUAGAUGAUCAAUGUUCUGCCUACUCUUGUCAGAUUAGAAAGUUAUAGAUUAUGUCUUUUGUAACAUAGAUUUUCUUUCUUUCUUCCUUUGUUUUUGAAGAAGAAAAAAAAAAAAAAAAACUGAACGUGUCUGGGAGCCGUUAAGAGUGCGGAACCGGGAGGUCGUUGGAACGAAAGCAAUCUCUUGUCCACAUCCCAAGUUGGAAGAACCACAAAUGGAUUCUUCUUGGUUUCUUGUUCUAUAUCUGCCUUCUCUUUGUUUCACUGUCUCAUCACCAAGAAAUAGAAUGUUGAUAUCAUUUGACUGCUGCACAAAGUGAUUCAUCCUGCGCUUUCUUGAACUUUGAUUGGAUAUCUGUUAUUGGGUUCUGUCAGCGGCUCAGCCUUGAACAAAGAAACGAAAAAUUGAGGGAUUUGAAAGAGGAUUAGAGAUGGGUUUUUUGAGCACUGUAAUAGGUUGGUUUGGAUUUGGAAUAGGAAUCGCAAUGGGGCUUGUGAUUGGUUAUUAUCUGUUCAUCUAUUUCCAACCAAGUGAUGUUAAGGAUCCUGUAAUUCGUCCAUUGGUUGAGCAAGACUCUCAAACUUUGGAACGGUUGCUUUCAGAUAUACCUAUCUGGGUGAAAAAUCCAGACCAUGACCGUCUUGAUUGGCUUAACAAAUUUAUUGAAACAAUGUGGCCCUAUUUAGACAAGGCAAUCUGCAAGACUGCAAAAAAUAUAGCAGAGCCCAUCAUAGCUGAGCAAAUUCCAAAAUACAAAAUAAAGUCAAUUGAAUUUAAAACACUUACCUUGGGCUCCCUACCUCCUACUUUUCAAGGAAUGAAAGUCUACAUCACUGAGGACAAAGAGUUAAUAAUGGAACCAUCCAUUAAGUGGGCGGGAAAUCCAAACAUCACUGUUGAAGCUAAGGUGUUUGGGUUUAGAGCCACUGUUCAGGUGGUUGAUUUGCAAGUAUUUGCUUCUCCUCGUAUCACCUUGAAGCCAUUGGUUCCAAGCUUUCCUUGUUUUGCUAAAAUACUAGUAUCUCUCAUGGAGGAGCCUCAUGCUGACUUUGGUUUGAAAGUACUAGGGGCAGAUACUAUGUCCAUUCCUGGCUUGUAUGGGUUUGUGCAGGAGCUUAUCAAAGAGCAGGUUUCUAAGAUGUAUCUGUGGCCCAAAGCCCUUGAGGUACCAAUUAUGGAUCCUACAAAAGCCUCAAAGCGGCCUGUUGGAAUUCUAAAUGUGAAGGUUGUGAGAGCACUGAAGCUAAAAAAGAAAGAUCUUUUGGGGGCAUCAGAUCCUUAUGUAAAACUAAAACUCACUGACGACAAAUUUCAAUCCAAGAAAACAAACGUGAGGCAUAAGAGCUUGAACCCUGAAUGGAAUGAAGACUUCAAGUUUACCAUUAGAGACCCAGAAUCUCAAGCUUUGCAAGUCAGUGUAUAUGACUGGGAAAAGGUUGGAAGGCACGACAUGAUGGGCCUAAAUGUAAUACGAUUGGAGGAACUUGCUCCUGAUGAGCCGAAAGUGAUGACGCUUGAUCUGCUUAAAAAUCUUGAUGCAAACGAUGUUCCAGAUGGAAAGUCACAUGGACAGAUUGUUCUUGAAUUGAUUUACAAACCUUUCAAGGAUGAUGAGAUGCCAGACGAAAGUAAAGGUCCAAAUGCAGUAGAAAAGGCUCCUGAAGGAACUCCUGCUGGUGGAGGUUUGCUUGUAGCAAUUGUCCAUGAAGCACAAGAUCUAGAGGGGAAGCACCAUACAAAUCCUCAUGUGCGCCUACUUUUCAGAGGGGAGGAGAGAAAAACUAAGCCUGUAAAGAAAAACAGAGAUCCAAGAUGGGAAGAAGAGUUUCAGUUCAUGCUGGAAGAACCACCAAUUAAUGACAGAAUUCAUGUGGAAGUUAUUAGUACCUCUUUGAGGUUGGGCCUACUAUAUCCCAAGGAAGCUCUGGGUUAUGUGGAUAUAAACCUUGCAGACGUCAUUAGAAACAGGAGAAUCAAUGGGACAUACAACCUCAUUGACUCAAAGAAUGGCCGGAUUCAGAUAGAAUUGCAAUGGAGGACAUCGUGAUGAUGACACUGAUUUUGGGCAGUUGUAUAUUAUGGGAAAACACUGGAUUUAAAAGCUGCCUUCAGUCAACAAACUCAACUGCAACUUCUCGGUAGAAGCAGAAACAACUCGGUUCACUGGCAGCUGUGUUGCCACAUGGGGAGGUCUCCUUGCUGUGAAAAAGCUCACACAAACAAAGGAGCUUGGAGCAAAGAAGAAGAC